AUAACAGGCAUGAACCACCACACCCAGCCCCAUGCAUACAAUUUAGAGCAGUUUCCCCUGUGACCUAUGGGAUCUUACAAUCCUGUGAGGUACACGAAGUAGUCAGGAUAGGCUAGGUUAUGCUGUGGUAACAAAACCCCCCAAGUCUCAGUUGCUUAAUACAGCAAACAUUUCUCACUCCUGCCACAUGUCUGUUGCAGGUCAGCCGUGGCUGUGCCUCACACCAUUUUCUCCCUGGGACCCAGGCAGUUGGAGCAGCCUCCACUUGGAACAUUGUUGGUCACCCAUUUAUACGGAAGAGGGAAGAGCGGGCAUGUGAUGUCAUUCGCUCAUUCCCCGAAAUGGGGUUGUCUCCCCAUUUCACUGGGGAGAGCCAAAGCCUGAUCACCAACUGAGGUCCACGUGGAGACAUCAAGGCAUGGAUUGGAAAUGAGUCCAGAGCUCUUAGGUGAAGUCAGAGCUGGAGUAAUGGAUUCGGAGGUCUCAAGGCCACCCGCUUCUCGAUGCCUCCUCCUACUCACCGUCUCGAUGGCCAAGGCCUGUGCUUUCAGCUUGGCCUGCAGCACAGACCCUUCUCCCUCAAUCCGGGCUGCCUCUGCACGGGACUCGGCCUCUGCCUUGGCAGUCCCGGUGCUCUCCACGGCCAUGCUGGAGAGAAGACAGAGUCAGGUAAGACCCGGGAGACAGCUCAGUCCCCCCACGGCCUUGACUUAUGCUGUAGCCAUGCACUGUCUCAUCCACACCCCCCAACCCUGGCCUACUGCCCCCACUGGCUGCCGUCCCAAGACCCUCAGCCCCUGCCAGUCUCCUCCUCUAGUUUUUAACCCACCUCAGAGCCUCCAGCUCCAAGAGUUCCUUGCGAGCUUUCUCAGCUUCUGACUGGUCCAGGAUCUUCUGCCGCUCAAGCCGGCCGCGGGCUUCCUGCUCCAGUCUCUGAGCCUCGUGCCUGGAGACGGAGGAGUGCAGGUGAGAGGCUGGCAUGGGGCUGGAGCAGGAACAGGAGCGCCAAGGGCAGAGACCACCAACGAAACUGGUGCCCGGGACAGACCCCGGCCCCUAGAGGGCACCCGAUACUCAACUCAACCCAGAAUGGUAUAUGCGUCACAAGCCAGUGUCAUUCUGGGCCCGACAAAUGCAGGCAUGACCGUAGUCCCUGCUUUCACGCCACU